rnacentral:snRNA from 1 species
GUGCUCACUUUGGCAGCAUAUGUACUAAAAUUGGAAUGAUACAGAGAUUAGCAUGGCCCCUGUGCAAGGAUGACAUGAAAAUUUGUGAAGAAUUGCAUAUUAAA